CCUACGGGUGGCGGCAGUGGGGAAUAUUGGACAAUGGGCGAAAGCCUGAUCCAGCCAUGCCGCGUGUGUGAAGAAGGCCUUCGGGUUGUAAAGCACUUUCAGUGGGGAAGAAAGCCUUGGGGCUAAUACCCUCGAGGAAGGACAUCACCCACAGAAGAAGCACCGGCUAACUCCGUGCCAGCAGCCGCGGUAAUACGGAGGGUGCGAGCGUUAAUCGGAAUUACUGGGCGUAAAGCGCGCGUAGGCGGUCUGAUAAGCCGGUUGUGAAAGCCCCGGGCUCAACCUGGGAACGGCAUCCGGAACUGUCAGGCUAGAGUGCAGGAGAGGAAGGUAGAAUUCCCGGUGUAGCGGUGAAAUGCGUAGAGAUCGGGAGGAAUACCAGUGGUGAAGGCGGCCUUCUGGACUGACACUGACGCUGAGGUGCGAAAGCGUGGGUAGCAAACAGGAUUAGAUACCCCGGUAGUC
rnacentral:rRNA from 1 species